rnacentral:rRNA from 1 species
CGCUAUCACUCCUACGGGGAGGCAGCAGUAGGGAAUCUUCCACAAUGGGCGCAAGCCUGAUGGAGCAACACCGCGUGAGUGAAGAAGGGUUUCGGCUCGUAAAGUUCUGUUGUUAAAGAAGAACACGUAUGAGAGUAACUGUUCAUACGUUGACGGUAUUUAACCAGAAAGUCACGGCUAACUACGUGCCAGCAGCCGCGGUAAUACGUAGGUGGCAAGCGUUAUCCGGAUUUAUUGGGCGUAAAGAGAGUGCAGGCGGUUUUCUAAGUCUGAUGUGAAAGCCUUCGGCUUAACCGGAGAAGUGCAUCGGAAACUGGAUAACUUGAGUGCAGAAGAGGGUAGUGGAACUCCAUGUGUAGCGGUGGAAUGCGUAGAUAUAUGGAAGAACACCAGUGGCGAAGGCGGCUACCUGGUCUGCAACUGACGCUGAGACUCGAAAGCAUGGGUAGCGAACAGGAUUAGAUACCCUGGUAG